CAAUAGCGUAUAUUAAUGUUGUUGCAGUUAAAAGCUCGUAGUUGGAUUUCUGAUGAGAGCCCUGGUCACUUUAACGAGUGUACUGAUGUGGCGUCUGGUCGUUUCAUGGGGAUGCUUGCUGGUAUUAAGUUAUCGGCUUGUGGAUCCAUGUCGUUUACUGUGAAAAAAUUAGAGUGUUCAAAGCAGGCCAUCGCUGUGAAUACAUUAGCAUGGAAUAAUAAGAUAGGACUGUGGUGCUAUUUUGUUGGUUUGCGUACUACGGUAAUGAUUAAUAGGGAUAGUUGGGGGUAUUCAUAUUCAAUUGUCAGAGGUGAAAUUCUUGGAUUUAUGGAAGAUGAACUACUGCGAAAGCAUUUACCAAGGAUGUUUUCAUUAA
rnacentral:rRNA from 1 species